rnacentral:lncRNA from 1 species
GGAACACGUGCAUCAAUGUCUUGGAGAGCAUCUACAAGAUAUGGUAUGAUACCUCUACCAUAGUCAGUGUCUUCAUAAAUUGGCACUACCUCUCUCCAGCCAUAGGUCUUGAUUAGGCAGGCAAUACUUUGCACUUGUGCUGAGUCAUUCAGUGUUGCACGAACGAAAUAUGGAAGACUGGCAGAGUAAAGAGAUGGGCUUGUUGCUGUGAAGGAUAUUACAGGGACCUGACUUCUAUUUCCAAGAUCUGAUACAAAUGAAGCUUGUGAGGAUGUCUGAGGGCCUAUGAUAAUUUGUACAUUGUGAUUCUCCAGAAGAUCAAGAGCUGCAGCAUAGAUCAACAAGUUGUAAUUAAUGAUCAUACAAGCAGGAAAAAUUGCUGAUCCCCUAAAAAUAAAAGAAAGAAAUUCCUGGGUUAGAGUGGCAAUGCAUUAUUGCAUUUCAGAUGUUCUUGAGCCAUUGAGUGUUGCAUGCACAAAAAUAUUUAAGGCAGCUGGAAGAUUGUGAUGGGCUGGUUGUCGUGAAGGAAAGAUUGGCCUAGAAAUUUUAUUUUAGUGAUCUUGAGAUAAAUACAGGUCGUGAAGUUCUCUGGGAUCACUACAUUAGUAUUACGGUUCUCGAUCAGAUCAAGGACUGCAGAAUUGCAUACUCAUUUUAACUUUGGUCAAAUAUCGUAUGGAGAAAUCUGAAAUACUUGGCAUCAAAUCUUUGGUCCAGGAACAUGACAAUCUUCUCCCUCAAGGAAAAGGUAACAUAACAGCUACAGAUUCAGGGCUGACAAAAGCAUCACAUAUCUUGCACAUGUUGCCAAACUAUAUCACCUAAUACCUGUAAUGAACAAGAGCAAUUUACUCAUGACAGAAGCCCAAAACUCAUGGGCUUGAGAUGCAGUUUAGACAUAAUCACUCAUGGAAACCCAAAUUAUUUUGCUGACCAAGGAAUUCAUGUGCUCUUUGUCUAGUGAAAUUUUGGGUGGCCGUAAAGUUAAUUGACGUCAAGAGGAGCAGGAUAGUUCCAUGGUAUGAUGUCUACAUCUGCUUGAAGUUUGAUUCUGGAUGUUAUUCAGAGUUUAGUAAAAUCAUGAGUUUGCUUUAUUGUGCACAGAAUGAAACAUUACAUUGAACUUACCAAUUUGUUUAAAAAGAAUUUGAUUAAGUACUAGGUAUUCGAGGGUCCACUAGUUUACAACCUUUCGAUGUUCUGUUAAUUUGUUGGUAGUUAAAUUAUUUCUUUCGAACCAUGCAUUGAUAUCCAAUUAUUCAUGUACAACAACUAAGGCUGAUUGACCCCAUUAAAAAAGUGUAGGUACAUUGAAACUCAUUUGCUUCCUUUUGGAUGCUGAGCAUCCCUGAACCAUCAAGUUUUCUCAAAGUCAGUAACUUGUAAUUCAAUCUUUCUGUUGGUUAAUAUGAAUGACUGAAUGUUGACUUGAAUGGUCAGUUAUAUGAUACCACAUUGUAGUAUAUGUUUUCUCAGUUGGUAUUUGAUAUUAUCAUUCUCCGUUCUUGUCAGCUGAAUGCAUGGCUUCAGCUUUGGGAAUAAGAAGUCCUGUAGACUGAUCCCCAACCAGUGUGAAAUUUGUCUGUUGUUGGUGCAAAGAAAAAAUCAGAAGCAAACAGUGGUAGGUUCCUCUCAAUUAUGACUUACUUUAUUUUGAACAGGGAUCUCUUAUCUUUCUUAAUUCAAGAUUAAUACUGAAUCUACUAGAUUAAGAAACAAUUUAAAUGGUGGGCAGCCCUGCUAGUGCAAGAGAAUGGAUACGGGUUACUUAUUUGCUAAGUUGCAUCUAUGGUAGGCCCUAAAACAGAGAAGGUCCAUGGGUACUCAUGAAACCUCCAAUUUGCAGAACAUAACUUAAAAUUUAAUUUGCAUGCAUUGACAUUUGAACCAAGUUACUUUAAACUAUAUAGUAACUAGCUGGCUAAUAUGUUGACAAUUGAACAACAAAACCUCUUGGUGUUUGGUCUAGGGGGAGGUUUGUCCAUGAGUACAGCCUCAUCUAACAACCGAUCUGGAACUAAUGCAACACUAUUUAAUACUACAACGCUUGUACCUAUUGGUACUAGCUGAUUUGACAUUUGGGCAUGAACUGCUAAAAUAUAUAUAGUGUUACUGUGUAAGAACAUGCAAGAUAUAAUAGAUUGUGGAGUAUAAUGUAAUUUAUCCAAUUGUGCAAUUAGCUGAAUGAUUUUAUGAAAAGGCCAUACGUACUAGGAGAAAUUUUGUCAUACAUAGAUUCUUGAAGAAAAGGACUUCUGUGGAAUAUGUUAUCUUGCAGCUGCAUGUUUUGAAGAAAACUAGUGACUGAGGGUGUGUUUAGUUCACGCCAAAAUUAGAAGUUUGGUUGAAAUUAGAACGAUGUGAUGGAAAAGUUGAAAGUUUGUGUGUGUAGGAAAAUUUUGAUGUGAUGGAAAAGUUGGAAGUUUGAAGAAAAAGUUUCGAACUAAACUCGGCCUGAAAAUGAAUCUUGGAGGCAGCACAACAGUAAAACAUCUAUUCAUCGCCACAAAAAAUAGUAGAAAAUAAAAACAUCCAUAUUGCUACAAGAUUGUACCACAAGACUUCAGAACAUUUACCUGCUGAUGCAGCCUGGACAUUAUUACUUCCAGAAUCCCUGAUGUGGAGAACUAUCUUUGUGCUGUAGUUUGUGUGUGCCGCGUAGAAAUCAUCCAGCGCCAUCAAAAUACUGGUCCGUGCUAUUUUCCCCACCAUUGUUUGAAGGUCAAGGAUCACUCCAACUGGG